rnacentral:rRNA from 1 species
GAUGAACGCUGGCGGCGUGCCUAAUACAUGCAAGUAGAACGCUGAAGGAAGGAGCUUGCUCUUUCCGGAUGAGUUGCGAACGGGUGAGUAACGCGUAGGUAACCUGCCUGGUAGCGGGGGAUAACUAUUGGAAACGAUAGCCAAUACCGCAUAACAGUAGAUGUUGCAUGAUAUCUACUUAAAAGGUGCAAUUGCACCACUACCAGAUGGACCUGCGUUGUAUUAGCUAGUUGGUGAGGUAACGGCUCACCAAGGCGACGAUACAUAGCCGACCUGAGAGGGUGAUCGGCCACACUGGGACUGAGACACGGCCCAGACUCCUACGGGAGGCAGCAGUAGGGAAUCUUCGGCAAUGGACGGAAGUCUGACCGAGCAACGCCGCGUGAGUGAAGAAGGUUUUCGGAUCGUAAAGCUCUGUUGUAAGAGAAGAACGAGUGUGAGAGUGGAAAGUUCACACUGUGACGGUAUCUUACCAGAAAGGGACGGCUAACUACGUG